CCCACGGCUUUCGCCGUGGGCCACAAUCUUUCGGCCCUCCGGGCCU
rnacentral:sRNA from 1 species